rnacentral:lncRNA from 10 species
ACCUUUUCAGCUAUAACAGCAAGAAGGCAGACACACACAAACUUGUCCUAAAGUUUAGCUCUUCCAAUUGCAGUAGGAAGUUCUCUAAGACUUAGUUCGGGCAGAGACAAAAGCAGAAUUAAAGCAACUAAAAGCAGAUGUGAGCUUUCUCUCUGAGAACCAUCCUGCUUACUAAGAACAAGCUUCCUGAUGGCAGUUUGGCCAGGAGGGGACGAUCUGCUUUCCUGAUUAAGUAUCUCUGCUGAAGCAUUACUGCUUUCAGUGAUGACUGUCCUUUUUAAAAAUGACUAUGUUUUUGAGUCUCACCUUCCCUCAGGAAUGUAAUGGGCUUCUUAAGAAACUGGAGUUGCAAGGUAUUUUCUGUCUUCUUCUUUCACACAUUAAAAAGAAAGAAAGAAAAAGUUUCAGAAUUCUCGAGAAGUAUGCAAUAGGUUGAAAACCAAAAAAUAAAAACAACACGUACUAGCUUUUAUAUCUCAAACACCCAAAUAAAUCAUUUGGUAGUCCUAGAGCAUUGCACAGAACGACUGGAGACUGUUCCAAUUCCUGUGAAGCCAUGCAGAGAAGACCAGGGAAAACUUUGAAAGACAAUUGGUAUUGUUGACUUAAUAGAACACAACUGGAUAAUUAUGGCAUUGGCCAGUGCCUGAGUGAACAGAUGAUUCAAGCGUUCCCUGCCUCCAACAAUGACUUGGCACUAUAUAACAACUCUGAAAAUUAGACAUGACUCUUUGAAAAUUGGGAACCUCAACAGAAUAAAAUCUAUUAUCCUAUUAGAGCUUUAAAACAUAAACUAAACUACAAAGUCAUAUUAUUUUCACAUUUUAGUUUAUGGUGUGAAAUUCUUAUCUGCUACACUAAACUAGACUUGGAACAACUAAGUAUGCAUAAUUUGAACCUCCUUUCUUGAGGGGUAACUAUGGGUGGUGGCUCUAAUGUCUCUUCCAACAAAGGUAAUUAUAUGUAUGAGUAGGAAAAGUAUCAGUUAAAUUAAUAUUAACUUCUAUACUUACUUCUCUACAUUUCCUGAAAUAUAGUGCUCUAAUCCCACUAAUCUCAAACAAAAGAAUCUAGUUUAUAACUAUAAAAGUCAGGGACCAGCUAUCAUUGGGUAUGUUGGGUCAGAUGACAUUAGUUGGGACAAUAUACAAAACAGAUCCAUGGAAAAUUCCCAAGUGCAAAUAUGACAACAAAGUUGGAGAAAAAGAAUAUUUUGGCUCUAAUAUGUUCCCUACCAAAUUAAACUCAUCGUGCUAUUGGUAGUAAAAUUAGGAGUGGUGGUAAUAACAAUAAUUAUUAUAAUAAGAAUUAUUAUCAUAGCAUGUAAUUUUUGAUUAUUUAUUAUGUGCCAAGCACUAUACUAAGUAUUUACAUUAUAUUAUUAAAACUUUUCUACAAUUUUAUCUUCAGAGUCCAUGCUUCUGAACACUCUUCCAUAUUGCUGUCCUUUACCACCAACAAACUCUAAAAUAGACAUUCCAAAGGGUAGGAAUCACGUCUAAGUGCCUCAGAUACAAUUCAUUAUUCACUUUGAAAUAGUACAUAUUUUUGCAGCCAGAAACAUAAAUGUUAUUUUCAGUAUAGCUUUUCUGCAUUUCUCUGGAUUCUUUGUCAAUGAAAUUCUGUUGGAAAGAGAAGAAUACAUUGUUAUAUUUUAUUUUGUACUUGAAUGAAUGCACAAAUAAAUAAUCAUCCAGAGGAUAUAAUCUAUCAUUCAUAUGCUUCCAUACUAAUAAAACAGAAUGCCCACUUCCUGCAUUUUAUAUGGCACAUUGGUUGGAAGUUCUAACAACAGGUUAUGUUAGAGAUAGGUAGUUGUGGGUAUUAUACUUCUAGACAUGGCUGAAGCCUAUCUGGAAAGAGAUAUCUCAGCUGCACUGUUAUUUUUAUACGUGAAGAGCAGUUCUUCGCAGUUAUCAGAGUGAAAAUUCCAUCUGCUACUUGCUAUAUACAGACUCUGAGCAGAAGCCACAGACCUUUAAAAAUGCUUAUUUGUUACAAGAAAAUACAAUACAUUUUCAGAAUCCUCAAAUAUUGAACCAGAAAGAUUAUAGAAAAUUCUAUGCCAACAAGAGCCAGUAGAGAUUACAAACAUUAUGUAAAGAGGAAAACAAAAGUAUCCUGAAUAUCCCUAUUGUGUAAACUGCCUCAUUAUUUAGUUUUUAAACACAAUUUAGAUUUUUUUCCUCUAUUGUCACUGAUAUAAUUUCAAAGUUAGGCCGAUAAUUGAAGAGUGGGUGAGCAAGACACGUACUGUACACGGCAGGGGCAAGUAGAACCGAGGAGGCAGGGGGACACAUGAGCAAGUUUAACUUUUGAUUCUUUUUAGAAAAGAAAACAAUGAGAAAGAAAACAAUUUAUUAAAUGAGAGGUAGUCACACACACCUCCAGAAUAUCAAAAUUUAAGCAGCUGGUAUGGCAUUUCAAAUAUGCAUUGUGGGCUGUUCCUUUAGAAAGUCAUCAUAACCUCUGCUUUUCAUUGUCUGUAAAAAAUAGAUGUUAAAUGGCUCUGAGUUUUAAGAGAACACUCGGGCAUCGCAAAUUCUCCAAAACAUGUUUGUUUGCUGUUUCCUAAAUAUUUAAUACAAUGCAUAUAUAGGCUAGCAUACAUUGUGAUUGCCUGAUAUUUUUUGAUUGAAUUUCCUUUUCAGAUAUUCAUAAUACUUGACGUCCAUGUGCAGCAGAGAAACAUUUAUAACAAAAAGUAUGAACAUAGUUAUUAUUUAUGUGUAUUUGAAUCUUCUAUCUUUACCUGUUCUUUCUUCCUUAAUUCUAUUUUGCCUAUGCCCAUGCCCCUUAUAUACUUGAAGAAACUUCCAGGAGAAAAAGCUACUUUUAUAUGCCCUUGCUUGUUUUUGUUGUGGUUUUUUUUUUUUUUUUUCCAAGUAGGUUUUUUACUAGCCCCAAAGGUGUGCAUUGUUGGAAUAAUUUAAUACUAUCCUAGGGCUAGUCAAUUGUAAACAAGUCUGCUCUAUGGAAAAACUGCUUAAAAAUUGCAACUCAACAUUUUAGACUAUGAAAAGGAACUGACUGAGGAUUUUUUUUAUAAUAAGGCUCCUCAAUUCACAUUUUAAAUCAACACUUCCCAUUGGAGUUUGUGUGGGUUAGAAAGAACAAAGCGAAAUUCUGAACUGUCAUUUAGAUCAAGAUAAUGAUAACAAAAAUAGUUUCUAUAAUUUUACAAAGGCAAAUCUAGUCCUUGAAGAAGUCUUACAUCAACAGUUCACCAAAGUUUACAGAACUUGCUUUGUUCAUCUGGGGAGUAACAUGUAUCUGAGUUUGUUGCCAUUUCCCACAAUUUAAGUGACUACCAAAAAGUAAAAUUUAAAUAAUUUGAUCUAGAGGUUGGCAAACAUUUUUCUUUAAAGGACCAGAUCAUAAAUAUUUUUGACUUUGUAGGCAAACUGUCACAACUACUGAACUCUGCCAUUACUGUAACUCCCAAGUACACACUGACAGUAAAUUAACAAAUGGGCAUGGCUGUGUUGCAAUAAAACUUUAUUUACAAAAACAGGCAAUGGCUGCACUCAGCCUGUGAAUUGCAGUUUGCCAUAGUUUCAAAAUAGAAUCAUUACAAUUUAAUCAUUUCCCUGAAAAAUCAAGAAUCUUGCCUAUUUUAUGAAAACCGUUUUAUUUCAGAUAUUUCUAGAGUAUCACAACUAGUCUUGAUCACAUUGUCAACAGAUUCAAUUUUUUUGACUGAACUGAAAGCUUAGUAUAGUCAUAUAUAAAAUGGUUGUAAAAUAUGAUAAUUUUUAUUCUCCACAUGCUUUUCAUAUUUUUAUUACUAUUUCAGAUUUCUAAAUUACUUACUGCUAUCUGACAGAACAGGUCAGUUUUCUUUUACCUUCCAGUGAUUUCUUUCAUCAGUAAACAGCUCAAUACAAAGCUCUGAGGGAUCAAACUCACUGUUAGUCUUUAAAAACUUCCUGAAAAGAGGCCUCACCCAUGUAAAUUAUUAAAAUAUUGAUGAAAGCAAAACAAGCCACUCCAGGAAACUAUACAUAGUGAGAGUAUAAUACUGAGAUGAAUGUAUAAAAUAAUUUUAUGAAAAACGAUUGUAGGAAAGGAGAGCUUUGUCCUAUACAUUACAGUUUUAAGGUGUGUCUUCAUUCUUAUUCAUGGCAGUACAUUGCCAACAAUACGACGACUUUAAUGUUUCUGACUGCCUCUGUUUUCUCUUGAUAUUACCAGGAGGCAGAGGGUCCUUUAUAUGCAUUUUCAGCUGCAUAAAGACUCUGUUUAGAACGUUUUACUGGAGUGAGCUAAGAGCUUUAGCUUGCUUAGUGGACUCC